CGACGCAACGCCGCGUGGAGGAUGAAGGUCUUCGGAUUGUAAACUCCUGUUGCUCGGGACGAAAAGCUUCGACCUAACACGUCGAGGUCUGACGGUACCGAGUGAGGAAGCCCCGGCUAACUCUGUGCCAGCAGCCGCGGUAAUACAGAGGGGGCAAGCGUUGUUCGGAAUUACUGGGCGUAAAGGGCGCGUAGGCGGCCUGCUAAGUCGAACGUGAAAUCCCUGGGCUCAACCCAGGAACUGCGUCCGAUACUGGUUGGCUUGAAUCCGGGAGAGGGAUGUGGAAUUCCAGGUGUAGCGGUGAAAUGCGUAGAUAUCUGGAGGAACACCGGUGGCGAAGGCGACAUCCUGGACCGGUAUUGACGCUGAGGCGCGAAAGCCAGGGGAGCAAACGGGAUUAGAUACCCCGGUAGUCCUGGCCCUAAACGAUGAAUGCUUGGUGUGGCGGGUAUCGAUCCCUGCCGUGCCGAAGCUAACGCAUUAAGCAUUCCGCCUGGGGAGUACGGUCGCAAGGCUG
rnacentral:rRNA from 1 species